UGGGGAAUAUUGGACAAUGGGCGCAAGCCUGAUCCAGCCAUGCCGCGUGUGUGAAGAAGGCCUUCGGGUUGUAAAGCACUUUCAGUAAGGAGGAAGCGUUGAGUGUUAAUAGUACUCAGCGUUGACGUUACUUACAGAAGAAGCACCGGCUAACUCUGUGCCAGCAGCCGCGGUAAUACAGAGGGUGCAAGCGUUAAUCGGAAUUACUGGGCGUAAAGCGCACGUAGGCGGUUUUUUAAGUCAGAUGUGAAAGCCCCGGGCUCAACCUGGGAAUUGCAUUUGAAACUGGAAAACUAGAGUGUGUGAGAGGGGGGUAGAAUUCCAAGUGUAGCGGUGAAAUGCGUAGAGAUUUGGAGGAAUACCAGUGGCGAAGGCGGCCCCCUGGCACAACACUGACGCUCAGGUGCGAAAGCGUGGGGAGCAAACAGG
rnacentral:rRNA from 1 species